rnacentral:rRNA from 1 species
GACGAACGCUGGCGGCGUGCUUAACACAUGCAAGUCGAACGAAGUGGCGAACGGGUGAGUAAUACGUGGGUAACCUGCCGUACGUUUUGGGAUAAGCAUUGGAAACGGGGUCUACUACCGAAUAAAGGUGGAUGGGCGCGCGGCCUAUGAGCUUGUGGGUGGGGUGAUGGCCUACCAAGGCGGUGACGGGGAGUCGGGCUGAGAGGUUGACCUGCCACAUUGGGACUGAGAUACGUCCCAGGCGCGUAAGGGGGGGAGCAGAUGGGGAGAGUGCCCAAUGGGCGAAAGCCUGAUGCAGCGACGCCGCGUGGGGGAUUCAGGCUUUCGGGUUGUAAACGUCUUUCGCUAUCGAACGGGUAGGUGGAGAAGAAGCGCCGGCUAACUACGUGCCAGCAGCCGCGGUAAUUC